CUCUCUCUCUAACUCUCUCACGUUCUCUUCUCCAAAAUGACGAUAACAACUCCUCCUCUCUCUUUCUUCUCCAGACGCAUUUUCUCCAUUGAAAAUUGAUCAACCUCAACCUUUGUCUUUCCAAACCCAGUGAGAUCAGUGGCCACUCCUGCGGAAGCUAUUGUCGGGUUUGAAGAGAUGGUUGCUGGGACUAGCUAAAGUAUUACAUGCUAGGUGGUAAAGGUGGAGUUGGAAAGACGAGCUGUGCAGCUUCAGUUGCUCUAAAGUUUGCUAACAAUGGGCAUCCCACUCUUGUGGUUUCCACGGAUCCAACACAUUCCUUGAGUGAUUCCCUGUGCAGCUUCACUUGCUGUAAAGUUUGCUAGUACUGAGCUGCUGGUUUCCACUAAUAUACAAAACUGCACACCCAAAAGUUUGCUUCUUGUUGGUUUAGAUUGCAGCUAGUCAUAUCAUUCUUGUUGGCCUUCGUGACUAUCAGGAUGACAAAGCUGAUUUGAUUCUCAAGUACAUGCCUGAUGAGCCUAGGCUGCUGAAGAUUAGGAUGAAGGUGGUGCUGAUGCAUGGAGUUUGAAGAUGAAGAUACUGAUAAGAUUUAAUGUUUGCAGAUCAACUUUUUUUCAGUGUUAUAUGUUAGCUUUACCGAUUUAGGGGUUAUUGACACCACCCUAAGUGAAACUUGGAUUGGCAGCUGGUACUUUAUGGUUUUGUGUUUUGCGUUUCCAGAUGGGCAAUUUGUCAUGUUCCAUGUAAAUUGGUCAUGUUCCCCUCUAAGUCAUGAGGGAAUGGAGACAGGGUUUUGUUUCCUAACCAUACUUUCUCCUUAUUUACAUGAAAGUGAUCUGGUGGAAUACCAUUUUGUGUA